rnacentral:tRNA from 1 species
GCUCGGGUGGCGAAACUGGCAGACGCAGGAGACUUAAAAUCUCCAGAGACGAAAGUCUCAUGUGGGUUCGAGCCCCACCCCGAGCA